CGCGCCCGGCCUCCCGCCCGCUCGCCGCCCGCUCGGCGCUCCUCCGCCCCGAGCUCUCCAGCCCCUGGAUCCCGGGCUCGCGGGGGUGCGGAGAAGAGGACCCUGGAAAGAGACAACCCAGGCCUGUCCCUACAGUGACCGUGCGGGAAGACGCGAGCCUCUGCUGAUGUCUGCUCCUCAUGGACCUGGCGUGGCUAUGAUUCAUUUUCCCGCCAUUGACUCAUUGGACCUCCAUUAAAUAGGACCGAAAGCAAUUAAUCAGGGGCAGAACGCCUGAGAAUCCCAUUCAUAAAUAAUCCUUUCCUUACUGCCCCCCAACCCCCAGCACGGGUGUACGAGGGGAGAUUUACAAGCCCAGAAGCCUGGAGGCCACACUCGCAGAAAAGCGUGUGUAUCCAACCCUCUGACUUCGCGUGUGGGAUUAAAUGGCCGGAUCAAUAUAUUUCCAUAA